GGCUUAUUGAUUUUAAUUUUAGGUCAGGCCUGCCCAAUGAGUUUUAAAUGGCCGCGGUAUAUUGACCGUGCAAAGGUAGCAUAAUUAUUAGUUUUUUAAUUGAAAGCUUGUAUGAAAGGUUUGAUGAGAAAAUUUCUGUCUCUAAAAAAAUUUAUUAAAAUUUUAUUUUUAAGUUAAAAAGCUUAAAUUUAUGUAGAAGACGAGAAGACCCUAUAGAGUUUUAUAUUUAUUUAAACAAUGGAACUGGAGGAUUAAAAAUUUAUUUGUUUAUUUAUGUAUUUUGUUGGGGUGAUGAAAAAAUUAACUUAACUUUUUUUUAUAAGUACAUUAAUUUAUGGAAUUGUGAUCCUAAUAUUUAGAUUAUAAGAUAAAAUUACCUUAGGGAUAACAGCGUAAUUUUUUUUAGAGUUCUUAUCGAAUGAAAAGAUUGCGACCUCGAUGUUGGAUUAAAAUUAAUUAGUGGUGUAGAGGCUGCUUUGAUUAGGUCUGUUCGACCUUUAAAAUUUUACAUGAUCUGAGUUUAGACCGGCGUGAG
rnacentral:rRNA from 1 species